rnacentral:SRP_RNA from 1 species
GCCAGGCAUGGUGGUGCAUGCCUGUAAUCCCAGCUACUUGGGAGGCUGAGGCAGGAGGAUUGCUUGAGCCCAGGAGGUAGAGGUUGCAGUGAGCUGAGAUUGUGCUACUGCACUCCAGCUUGGGCAGCAGAGUGAGACCCUGUCUUUA